CAAAUGCUAGUCAAAUUCUCAACCAUAAGAUCUGAACCAUCGAUCAAAAACUGAUCUGACGACUGAGAUCAAAGAAACCUAUUCUUUUCUUUUAAACCAAAACUUCUCAAACUCUAACCCUAUUUCCAAUUCAUCCGCCUCCCCACCCUCUCUCUCUAUCUAUCUGUUUUCCCCUCUCUCUAGAAUAAAACCGUUGCCCUUCCAUUGUUUUCCCACUCCGAUGGACGGCUGUUGCCGCCGCCCCACCACUUUUCUUCCUCCUCUCUUCCCUCCAUCUCCCAGCCACCGGCGAUUAGUGCUGCCACCAUCACACCGCUGUCAUCGCCCUUCACUUUCAUCACCGCCUCCGUGUCACCAACCGCCAUGCAAUGCCGCCGGACGCCGACCAACUCACCUCUUUCUCCAUGUUGUCACUCGUAUCCUUUCCUAGCGCCACCAACAAUGACAACAAUAUCACCAGCCGAGGACACCGGUCAACAACUAAGGAAACCCGUCGCCCCCCGUUCUCCGCAUCUCUACCACCGAUCAGCCCCAAAACCCUUCUUCCGUCGCCACUUCACGACCAUGCAGUCACAAUUUUAUACUAUUUUGUCUCACUAUUGAUCAUGAUCGGUGAGGUCGGGAUUAUUUGAAGAGUCGUCGGGUGUUAAACAUAAUAUGUUAUUUCUUAUAGCUGCUGUUUUCCUUUCUUAUUUUUUUUAUCAUUUGAUUUGUAACAUUAUUGUAAAGACGUUAUAUUGAUGUAAUAAUAAAUUUUGGGGACUGCUUCGGGAGGCAGAGGUUUA